rnacentral:misc_RNA from 1 species
CGAGGAGAGUGUCUCUCUCUCGCGUGGCUGCGAGAGAGACAGAACGGCCCAUUGAUCCGCCGCCUCGAGGCUGCCUCUCGUCCCGAGUGAUCUGGAAUCGCGAUCGGAAUCGCUUUGAAAGACGAUCUCGCACGCGAGUCGAGUAGUCGUGCGUUCGGCAAAUUCGAGAACGAAAGAGAAGUAAUCGCGAGAAACUUGCUUUCCCGAGCAUCGUCGGUUUGUUCUCUUCUCUCUCUCUCUCUCUCGAUAAGGUAUACUUUUCAAAUCGCGCGCUGUGUGUGGCCGAGUGUCUCGAUCGUGAGUCGUCGAACGGGUGGAAUCUUCCGGCACACUUUGUACAAAGCCGAAGGCGCGGUCUUGAAAAAGACUACGAUUGAAUCUCGCUCGAAGAUUGGUCGGACAAGAUUAUCGGCUUCUUAGAUCACGUUGAAAGUUUGUCAGAGUGCGACAGAGUUUCUCGCGUAGUGCAGAGAAUAUGAGACUUCAGCUCCCGAAGAAUCGUCUUAUUAAGGAAAGAGCGAGAGAGAGAGGGAUAUUCUGCUUCUCUCGAACGCAUAAGCGGCGUUAAAUUGUCGAGAGGUGUUCGAGAAGGUGGCAAUCGGAAGGUGCGAGCGAUUUGAUGACAUUUUCGAGAAGAGGCGUCGAUGGGAUUGAAGGAGCGCGGGGGGGACGCUCGUUAAGGCGCCUCUAAUAAUAGCGGCGCGCUCGCGAGUGUAGCAAGCGAUCUAUAAAUAGCGGUCUCUGGCCCCGUGGAAACACGAGCCCGUGGAUUUCACGGUGCAACCUGUGUGCCGACAGCGAAAACGGGAGAGAGAAAAAGGAGGGAAUCGCCGAGAGAAGAAUCAGCGCGGCCGAUUUGGAUAAGGCCAUCGAGGACUUAAUGUACGGAUUGAUUUGUGAAGUUGAAGAGUUCUCGAGAAGAGUGUGAUUUAAUCGGCGAUUUAUAUCGUGCGACGAGUAUUUCGGAGAAUGAUCCCGGAUCGCUAGAACCCGAGCUAGAACGAGAGACGAAAAUCGACAGACGCAGAGAUCGUCGUCCAGGAUGUGAUUCAAUUUUCGACUUGGAAUCUACUUGUCGCGAGCUACAAUACGUCAAACGAUAUCUAAUUUGAGACGAGAGAAAUGUUGGGGAAACAACCCACAAGGUUGGAAUUUUAUUUUAUUUAUUCUUGAUUUUUCUAGAGUGACUUGCGUUGGAUCGGAAAUCAGUGAGAAAGACAGAGAUUCUCUUGAAUCCGGGAUGAAUCGGCCGUCGGCUGGAAGCUAAUCGAGACUGAUAUCGAGAAGAAACUUUUCCAUGGAGUUUCCUAUUUUACUUUUCCAUCGUGAUAUCUCAGUUCGACUGGUGUGAUCCAAAGAUAUCGUACGUGAAAAGUUUUGACGCAGUCUUAGUGAAUGCGAUCAUCCGAGGGACAUCAAAGUGCAACCGUCGAAUAUCGAUGUCUUGGAACAACAUCCGAUCAUUUCGACGCAACCGACACAACCGGUUUAUCAAACGGAAUGCGAAGAAACUUCACAGUGUUUUCUUUUCUGCUUCGAGUACAGUGCAUAGUUUACAUACUUAAUGUUUCAAAUUUAUUUAGCAUGAUUUAAUGACACGUGCAACGCUAGAAAAGUACAUUUUACGCAUUAAACUGGUGAUUAGCUUUGACAAACGACUGAUAAUAAAUGUGCUAUUGGACUACUAUUAAUAUAUACUCGGAUCAUUAAGUUACUCGAGUUGUUUACGUGGGUUUGAUUCCAUCGUACGUGCUCUUCAUCUUUCACCGUUGACACAUCAUUGCAAAGUCGCAAUUACGCAAGACUGACCCGAACUCUAAUCUGACUUAUCGAUCUUAGUCUUACAAUAUUUAUACUAAAAAAAAAAAUAUUUGUGGACAGCUAAGUCUCUCCAAGAGAUCCCAGAUCCCUCGCGAUGCCCUCGUCCGGACGCUCCAGGGACUCUCAGUGAUACCGCGGAGGGCGAUCAUCCACCCCAGCGGAAGAUGAGCGGCGAGUGAGAGGAAGAGGCUGCCCCCCUCGAGCGACGGGGACCGUCGGGGAUCGACAUCCGGUCGCGAACGCGAAGCGGGUAGGACGCUCGCGCGGGGUCAGCGGCACGGUGGAGAGCGGUGCCACGGUGCGGGGGGUCGUGGUGGACCCCGGCGAUGACACAGCCAUGAUGGCCUACGGUGGCACCGCUGGUAACGGGGGCGCGAUGGGCCCCACGGCCGGUGGCGGCGGCAACGCCGGUGGCGCGGACGUUCUCGGCACCGCCGCCGGCGACUACAGCCCCCAGAGCACGCCCACGCCCUUGACCGGGCACACGACGACGAGCGGCUCGGUGGAGAACGCUUACACCCCCGGCACCACCGGGGCGGCCAGCUACAGUCCUCAGGACAGCCCGGCGAGCUCCGCCGGGGGCAGCGGCAACGGCCAGCUGCCGAGUUUCGGCUUCACCCAGGAGCAGGUCGCGUGUGUCUGCGAGGCGAUGGUGUCGAAUGUCCAGGUUCUCCAGCAGGCGGGCUCCGUGGAGAGGCUCAGCAGAUUUCUCUGGUCCCUACCGGCAUGCACCAGGUUGCAUCGGCACGAGAGCGUCCUCAAGGCAAAGGCGAUCGUCGCCUUCCAUCGGGGCCAAUUUAAGGAGCUCUACAGGAUCCUGGAGAGUCAUACCUUCAGCCCUAACAAUCAUCCCAAGCUGCAAGCCCUCUGGCUCAAGGCCCACUACAUCGAGGCUGAGAGGCUACGUGGCAGGCCCCUCGGCGCAGUCGGAAAAUAUCGAGUGCGUCGUAAGUUUCCGCUACCGCGCACUAUCUGGGACGGCGAGGAAACGUCUUACUGCUUUAAGGAAAAAUCCAGGAGCGUUCUGAGGGAUUGGUAUGCCACCAAUCCUUAUCCGUCACCGCGCGAAAAGCGAGAAUUGGCGGAGAGCACUGGUCUCACCACCACGCAAGUCAGCAAUUGGUUCAAAAACCGGAGGCAGAGAGACCGCGCCGCCGAGCACAGUGGACAGAGGGAGGACAAGACUCACGGCGGGGGUUUAGGAGACUCCAGCAGCGAAAGCGGUGACGAGACGAAGCGACAAUCCGGGCAGCAGCCGCAGCAACAGCCAUCCUCUUGCGCUGUUCAGCAGCAACAGCAGCAGCAGCAGCAGCAGCAGCAGAUGGUGGACCACCAGCAAACCUCCGGCAUGUACCAGCUUCCGCCUCCGGUCACGGUCUCCAGCCCGCAUUCGUAUCACCAGAGUCACGGCACGUCCUUGAGCCACCCGCACAUGCAGCACCACGACACGAGCAGCGAGAGCGGCGAUGACAAGAGGAACCUCCAUCAUCAAUUGCAGCAUCAUCUCCAAGUCGGCACCCACGGUGCCCACGGUCUCGUUCAUCCCACCGCUACUUUGCCACCACCACCGCCCAGUUGCGCUCAACAGAAGAGCCAGUUGGAUUACAUGCAGUACUACAGCCCGCAGGACUAUUUAAUCGGCACGCCGACCUCCGCGGAUUUGCAAAAGUCCUUGCCGCAUACGGCAACGUCGAUGCAGAUGGGCGCGAUCGCGCCUUCCAUGGGCGGGUUGAGCCCGAUGGGUCCUUCGACGAUGCUGUCCAAUACCAUGCAGGGUGUCAACACCAUGAACACCAUGUCGAUGAACGGCAUGGGCAUGGGCGCUUAUCAGGGCAUGAGUUCCAUGGGGAUGUCGACGUCGCACGCGAGUUACCAUAGCGGCCUCGUGUUGGGCGAAUACCAUUCCUUGUGACCUUGGGCCCCAAGCACCCAAAGCAAAAGGAGCCAGGAGAAGACUUAAUGCACAUCGGUGAGGCGCAAGACUUCCGGUCGAUCAAGCGUUCCGAUGAAUUCGAUCGAACUCUGGCUGCGAUCAUCUCGACGAUAAGAAAGAAAUCGAACACAAAGGGACGUCCGGUCACGUGGAGAAGCCAGAUGCUCUCUUUCAGGCUCGAAGAGGAUAUUAUCUGAAGUACGCUGGUAAAUAUCGACACAAAAAGGAGGACGAAGAUCUUAUCUGCUUCAUCGCGAUCGUUGAUAGACCUAAUAGCGAGCCGAAGGACGGUCGUUUUGAAAUAAUUACCGGUUCGUAUCCGUAGCACCGAUCUUUCCGGGUUCAUUCGGAUAUAUUGUAAGAUCAAAGGACGAUGUUCUCUUCUUCGCCGCUAUCUCUUUA